UACGUAGGGGGCAAGCGUUGUCCGGAUUUAUUGGGCGUAAAGAGCGUGUAGGCGGCCUGACAGGUCUGCUGUGAAAACUCGAGGCUCAACCUCGAGAUGUCGGCGGAAACCGUCUGGCUAGAGUCCGGAAGAGGAGAGUGGAAUUCCCGGUGUAGCGGUGAAAUGCGCAGAUAUCGGGAAGAACACCCGUGGCGAAGGCGGCCCACUGGGCCGGUACUGACGCUGAGGCGCGAAGGCGUGGGGAGCGAACGGG
rnacentral:rRNA from 1 species